CCUCCUUAUUCAUGUAGAACCGUUGGCCGAUGUAGAAAUGUUCACGGGUGGGGUCGAAAUCCUAGAUCUCAGGGCCACCCUCGUAAUGGUCAACAGUCAUGAUCUGGUCGAUGUUGUCGCCCAAAGUUGUGUACUGCUCUGGUGGAGUGUACUCCCAUGGUGAGGCACGAGAAGAUGUUGCAGCGUCCGCACCGAUUAUAACAUUAACAUCCUCCUCCUCUGAUGGAGAGGGCCAAUUGACGUAUCGUCGUCGUCCUCACUCGAGGCCUGGUC
rnacentral:lncRNA from 1 species